UGGACAGCACCACAUCCGGGUGCAGGGAGGGGAGGGUGGCUGCCAGAUCACCCCACUUCAGGUCAACCUCUUUGUUUUCUCGGGCCUCCUUCUGCCCCCCGGGGGCCCUUCCCCUGGAGGAUGAAAACUCACGGACCCCAGGAAGUCACCCCGAAGCCACUGGCUGGGAACCAACCAAGCCCGAAAGCAGGCUGAGGGACAGAGAGAUCCAAAAGAGAGCCAGAUAGCUGACGGCUCACCCUGCGUUCUAAAGGCUGGAUCUCCAGCUAAAUGCUUCUGUUUAAACAGGUUGGAUUUGGCCCGACCCUCCAAGGGGAGGCAGGAGGAUGGGCUGGAAUUUCCUCCAGAGCUCACAUCUGCAGAAACACGAAGACUGGACCAGUGCUAAUCUCAGGGCAGACACUCGAGGCGUUUGAUUAGGAAAUACGUAUGUAUUGGUUGCCUAGCACGUGCGGUUCCUGUUCUAGACAUUGAACGCCAAGCAGCGGGGGUGUGCGAGUGAGCAGGACGUGGUCCUUACCUUCUAAGCCUCCAUUCUCCAUCCUCCAUGGGACCUCCAAUGUGGACACAACCGGCGGGGGAGGGAGCGUCUGACAUUCGCUCCCAGCCUGCUCCUGCCAUUGAGAUACACAGGAGCCGGGUGGGGGUCGGGGGUUGUUGCUGAAGGAAAGACACGCAUGCAGAGCUCACCCGUCACACCCACAAAUCUGAAACAGGGUUGUUGUAGGACCCGUGCCCCUGUCCGCCCGCCAGAAGAGCAUCCCAGAGUCCUGUCUGGCCAGGCACUGCAGCUGAAGGCGCUGAAUCCUGUGACAAGGGGCUGCUUCCACAGCACAGGUGAGGUCCUUGAGGUCUUCCCUCUGGCCUGUCUCCCAACUUCAGAAACCCGGGGCUCCCCAACUGUUUUUAACUUCCCCACUCCAACGCUUCCCCCAAAUUAAAAAGAGUGCUUUACCAGUCGCGUGCCUGGACUCAUCGUGUGCAACUUUCCUUCGCCUCUCCUAUAUCUCUGCCCCCACCCCUGGCCGAGGUCCACCCUGAGCACAGCGUGGAGGGAGGGGUCUGAACGCCCCAUCACCUUAGAGGUGACAAGCCGGACACAUCAUGAAGAGCUUCUCUUUCCCGGCUCUGUGUCCCCACCUCUCCUCCUCCUCCCUAACCAGCUUUUCAGUCUCCUAGUUGUUGCCUGUGUUUGUUCAGCUUGCCUAUCCAGUCAUUCACUCCACAAUUCUUCGCUGGGCACCUCCCAGCCUGGAACCUGUUCCCCUCCCUGGUUUCUCAAUUCUCUGUGCAGCCUGACUGGGAGGCAGCACCCCUUCUCUAUGGAAGCUGGACCCCCCACUGGAUCCUCAUUUAUCCUUAACCUGGCAUCCUUAACCUGUCCCUCACACUUGAGACUUGGAAUCUAAACGAAGAGACAAAGAGGAAUAUUUACGUUCAUUCUGGUGACACAGGCAAUACUUUUUUCCUUAACAAACAUAGGCCUACUAUAUAUAUACUUA
rnacentral:lncRNA from 1 species